GCUUGGUGUUCUGUGUCUGCAUCCACGACUAUGGCGAGCAAGGAAGUUCUUCACUGUUCCAGUCCAGUGCUUCCUUCGACAGGGCCUACUGAUGCCAUUUCAGAAUUUGGGGGAUCUAUAGAUGAUAUCCCCACUUUCAAUGUACAAGAACUUAGGAGAGGAAUUGAUAACUUCGAGAAUGAAAA